rnacentral:rRNA from 1 species
GUGGGGAAUAUUCCGCAAUGGACGAAAGUCUGACGGAGCAACGCCGCGUGAGUGAUGAAGGUUUUCGGACUGUAAAGCUCUGUUGUUUAGGACGAAAGUGCCUGUUGCAAAUAGUUACAGGUAUUGACGGUACUGAACGAGGAAGCCACGGCUAACUACGUGCCAGCAGCCGCGGUAAUACGUAGGUGGCAAGCGUUGUCGGGAAUUAUUGGGCGUAAAGAGCAUGUAGGCGGGAAUCUAAGUCUGUUGUGAAAAUGCGGGGCUCAACCCCGUAUUGCGAUGGAAACUGGGUUUCUUGAGUGCAGGAGAGGAAAGGGGAAUUCCCAGUGUAGCGGUGAAAUGCGUAGAUAUUGGGAGGAACACCAGUGGCGAAGGCGCCUUUCUGGACUGUGUCUGACGCUGAGAUGCGAAAGCCAGGGUAGCGAACGGGAUUAGAAACCCCGGUAGUCC